UACGUAGGGGGCAAGCGUUGUCCGGAUUUAUUGGGCGUAAAGAGCGUGUAGGCGGCCAGGUAGGUCCGUUGUGAAAACUCGAGGCUCAACCUCGAGACGUCGAUGGAAACCAUCUGGCUAGAGUCCGGAAGAGGAGAGUGGAAUUCCUGGUGUAGCGGUGAAAUGCGCAGAUAUCAGGAAGAACACCCGUGGCGAAGGCGGCUCUCUGGGACGGUACUGACGCUGAGGCGCGAAAGCUAGGGGAGCAAACGGG
rnacentral:rRNA from 1 species